GCCAUUAUUAUUUGAAACUAUUCAAAAACUAACUCACAAAUAAUUAGUCAUUUAGUGUGAGCUCCACUUGAAGAAGUACAUAUAAUUUCAUUACCAUUUUAUAGCAAACAUGGUCCAUAUACAGGAAGAACUUUAAGCAAUGUGCCCAAAAAAUGUUGUUUUUUUGUUUGUUUGUUUUUUUUUUUUUUUAUCAUUGACAGCCUGCAACUUUACUUCCUACAACUGAAGUUAACUUCAACAUCAGUGAAAGUUGUUUCUCCCCUCAGCUGGAGCCUCAUUAUCAGUAUGAAGAAUCACAUAGGAGUACACACCUGUUUCCGGGCCGGAGUAGACUGGGCAGGCACGAUGCAGUCGUCGCUGUCUGAAAGGAUCGAUUCGUUCAGAUCUGAGCAUUCUGCUGGCUGUACGUCUAAAGAAAGAAUGAGAGCAACUGCAUUAUAAAGCACCACAGCUAUGUCUGUCGAAAAGCAUGAAGAGAAAAACAAGUGAUUUGGCAAAGGAUUGAAAGCAUUAGUGUAGUCUCCUUCUCUCUUACCCCAAUAACAACACUACCCCAUAGACCAACAGAAGAUAAGAGUGACAUGUUGGACUUUUAAAGAAAGCCUCCUUGGCCAAGGUCAACAGCAUUAACAAUUAUAUUGUUGGCUGCCAAGAGACAACGUUUCACAGUAUUGGAAACAGCUUGUGCAAUAUUUAUGUUUGGGGUUUUUUUUGGUAUUUUUUCUUCUCACAUUGCUGUAAGAAGGUCUUCCCUCACCAAGGCCUGGCAAACAACAGGGCAGGGGCAUUUUCCACAAAGCCAGAACCCAAUUGAUUUUCCAAGAAUGCAUGUGGGACCUAAUCUACAACAAUUCAAGCGGGACUUGUAUAAAUGAACUGUACUGCAAGCAUUGUGAAAAAAUUAAAAACACUGAGAAAUACAGGGAAAAUACACCUAGCAUUCGGAAACAGAGACGUAUCCUGUUUAGUAUCCUAAUAAUUCAGAUAAUUAAUAGCCUGAAAUAAAGAACAUGUACAACA